UUCAUAAAUUAUAGGGUAAUAAAUCACAAUUGCAGAAAAUUAUGUAAUUUAAGAAUCACAUCGCAUGGACAAGCAGACAUAUUGGCAGUCUUUCUAAUUGAUUUUAUGAGCAAUUAAUCUAAUUUCGGAGCAAAUAAGUACCGUUUCUUUAUCGACCAGACUCAUUGUCAGACGAAUGCACUUUGCCUGCGUACAAGCUUAUCAAGUUAUGCACGUACGUGUGUCGAUACAUUGUUGGGGGAAUAAGAACAUCCUGACAAAAAUUCAAUAACGUUGUAACAAAUCGAUUAUCAUGCCAGGAAAUAUAUCUCCCUGCUAUAAAUGUUGAUUGCUAUUUUGAGUACAUCCGCAUUAAGUUUGUGAUAUAUUUUCCAGAAGAGCUGGUGCUUAUUACGUAGUAGGGAACCAAUAAUCCUAAGAACGGUACCAAUACGGUAUGCUAAUACAUAUUAACACGAUUUACCCAAUGCGUUCAACAUACAAUUUUACACCACCACCGUAUUAAUGAACUCCGCAUCUGUAUUUGCAUGGCUUAUCAAAGCCCAAGUCAGGAACACGGAAGGGCGGAGAAUUAGACAGCAGAUAUCCAACAAACCGAAUCGUUUUGCUAUGCCACAUGAAUCGUGGUUAUACAAUGAUUAGCUUCUAGUGCAGCAUUCAGCUUACUGUAAUAUAUAUGUGCAAACGGCAGUCGCCUGAUGUUUUUAGCUGGAGGAACGAACGAGGACAAGUAAAUAACUGGCAAAUGGUCGAGAUCGAAAUAAUAAAACAGAUGAUGAGAUUCUGGGCAAAGCACCCACACCAUCAGGACGUGAUAUUCAGUUGGAACAAGAGCUUCAUUCCCUCUGCUCAAGAUCACAGCUAUCUCCCACACAUGCACAAAAACUGCUUCAUUCAAAGUGCAAGAAAUUUCAAAUUAAAGUUAAAUAAAAACUCUUUGUCAAAUGUCAA